GGACGGGUGAGUAAUGUCUGGGAAACUGCCCGAUGGAGGGGGAUAACUACUGGAAACGGUAGCUAAUACCGCAUAACGUCGCAAGACCAAAGUGGGGGACCUUCGGGCCUCACACCAUCGGAUGUGCCCAGAUGGGAUUAGCUUGUAGGCGGGGUAACGGCCCACCUAGGCGACGAUCCCUAGCUGGUCUGAGAGGAUGACCAGCCACACUGGAACUGAGACACGGUCCAGACUCCUACGGGAGGCAGCAGUGGGGAAUAUUGCACAAUGGGCGCAAGCCUGAUGCAGCCAUGCCGCGUGUAUGAAGAAGGCCUUCGGGUUGUAAAGUACUUUCAGCGGGGAGGAAGGUGGUGAGGUUAAUAACCUCAUCAAUUGACGUUACCCGCAGAAGAAGCACCGGCUAACUCCGUGCCAGCAGCCGCGGUAAUACGGAGGGUGCAAGCGUUAAUCGGAAUUACUGGGCGUAAAGCGCACGCAGGCGGUCUGUUAAGUCAGAUGUGAAAUCCCCGGGCUUAACCUGGGAACUGCAUUUGAAACUGGCAGGCUUGAGUCUCGUAGAGGGGGGUAGAAUUCCAGGUGUAGCGGUGAAAUGCGUAGAGAUCUGGAGGAAUACCGGUGGCGAAGGCGGCCCCCUGGACGAAGACUGACGCUCAGGUGCGAAAGCGUG
rnacentral:rRNA from 1 species